rnacentral:rRNA from 1 species
UACGUAGGUGGCAAGCGUUGUCCGGAAUUAUUGGGCGUAAAGCGCGCGCAGGCGGUCCUUUAAGUCUGAUGUGAAAGCCCACGGCUCAACCGUGGAGGGUCAUUGGAAACUGGGGGACUUGAGUGCAGAAGAGGAAAGCGGAAUUCCACGUGUAGCGGUGAAAUGCGUAGAGAUGUGGAGGAACACCAGUGGCGAAGGCGGCUUUCUGGACAGUGACUGACGCUGAGACACGAAAGCGUGGGGAGCAAACAGG